CCUACGGGGGGCUGCAGUGGGGAAUAUUGGACAAUGGGCGAAAGCCUGAUCCAGCCAUGCCGCGUGUGUGAAGAAGGCCUUCGGGUUGUAAAGCACUUUCAGUGGGGAAGAAAGCCUUGGGGCUAAUACCCUCGAGGAAGGACAUCACCCACAGAAGAAGCACCGGCUAACUCCGUGCCAGCAGCCGCGGUAAUACGGAGGGUGCGAGCGUUAAUCGGAAUUACUGGGCGUAAAGCGCGCGUAGGCGGUCUGAUAAGCCGGUUGUGAAAGCCCCGGGCUCAACCUGGGAACGGCAUCCGGAACUGUCAGGCUAGAGUGCAGGAGAGGAAGGUAGAAUUCCCGGUGUAGCGGUGAAAUGCGUAGAGAUCGGGAGGAAUACCAGUGGCGAAGGCGGCCUUCUGGACUGACACUGACGCUGAGGUGCGAAAGCGUGGGUAGCAAACAGGAUUAGAUACCGAGUAGU
rnacentral:rRNA from 1 species